UACAGAGGGUGCAAGCGUUAAUCGGAAUUACUGGGCGUAAAGCGUGCGUAGACGGUUAUUUAAGUCGGGUGUGAAAUCCCCGGGCUCAACCUGGGAAUUGCAUUCGAGACUGAAUAGCUAGGGUUCGGAAGAGGGAAGCGGAAUUUCCGGUGUAGCGGUGAAAUGCGUAGAUAUCGGAAGGAACAUCAGUGGCGAAAGCGGCUUCCUGGUCCAGAACCGACGUUCAGGCACGAAAGCGUGGGGAGCAAACAGGAUUAGAUACCCUGGUAGUCCACGCCAUAAACGAUGACAACUAGACGUUGAGAGGGUUUGCCUCCCAGUGUCGCAGCUAACGCGUUAAGUUGUCCGCCUGGGGAGUACGGCCGCAAGGUUGAA
rnacentral:rRNA from 1 species